rnacentral:rRNA from 1 species
CUACGGGUUGCAGCAGUGGGGAAUAUUGCACAAUGGACGAAAGUCUGAUGCAGCAACGCCGCGUGGAGGAUGACACAUUUCGGUGCGUAAACUCCUUUUAUAUAGGAAGAUAAUGACGGUACUAUAUGAAUAAGCGCCGGCUAACUCCGUGCCAGCAGCCGCGGUAAUACGGAGGGCGCAAGCGUUACUCGGAAUCACUGGGCGUAAAGAGCGUGUAGGCGGAUAGAUAAGUCAGGAGUGAAAUCCUAUGGCUCAACCAUAGAACUGCUCUUGAAACUGUCUAUCUAGAAUAUGGGAGAGGUAGAUGGAAUUUCUGGUGUAGGGGUAAAAUCCGUAGAGAUCAGGAGGAAUACCGAUUGCGAAGGCGAUCUACUGGAACAUUAUUGACGCUGAGACGCGAAAGCGUGGGGAGCAAACAGGAUUAGAUACCCCUGUAGUC